rnacentral:misc_RNA from 1 species
CCCGCCUCUUUCUUUUCGCUUGCUCAGCCGCAAUGUCGUUGAUGCGGUCGUGCGUGCGUCUCCAACAAACCGCGCUGGAGGUUUCUACGCUUCACCGACUGCUGCGGCACUGCGCACGUCACCCUGAGCGCUUCGAGUUGGCGGAAAUGUAUAAGCUUGGCAUCCUUCUGAAGGAUUCAAACGACGCACUGGCGUUGAGCUCAAACAAGGAGCUCUUGAAGAGCUUGGCGAGCCGCUACGCGCAGAUCCGCGAAAAUGCAUCGCCUUUUCAAAAAUCCUUGUUGGACGCGGUACUGCCUCGCUCGCAGUCUGUGUCGACGUCGAGGAGCAGUGCGGCAGGGGCUGGUGCAGCGGAGGCGCAGCUAACCACGGGAUCGCCGAGUGCACCAGACGGUGCCCUGCCGGUGACGGCGCAUGAGUACUUCAAGGCGAUCAUGGAACUGGCGAAGGACGCGGAGGCGGAGCACUACCGUGCCGUUGCCCGCGAGGCGCGCGCAUCAUCGCGCGGCCCGCUGCACGACGCGAGCGUGGACAUGCAAGAAGGCGUGUCUCCCGGACGAAGCGGGACCGCAGCGCCUGCACCGUCUCGGAGUGAUGACACGAGCGCAGCGGGCCUCGGUGAAGCGCUCGGAAGUAGCCGCACAGAAGUGUUGGAAGCUCACCUCACCGCCCUUGAGCCGAACCUUCGUCAACUGUCGCCGGCAGAGACGUGCCACCUCAUCAAAACCCUAGCAAAGUUCAACUACACAAACUACGAGCACGCUGUGCUCCUGACGCGUCGCGGAUGUGAAAUCUCUGGACAACUAAAGUGCCGUGAGCUGUGUCAGCUCUUCUUCAACCUGCAUAAACUGCACACGCGGGACUCCUUGGUCGCCAUCGUGAACCAUCUUCUCGAGCACACAACGGAGAUGACGGCCGACGACGUGUUUUUGCUCUCUCAGGCGCUCGAACGGCAGGAGAACACGUCGUCGGCGUCGCAGCGCCUCUUGGCACCGUUGGUGGCGCAGGCCAUCAAGAAACUGCCCGAUGCCCCCUCUGCAGCAUACCAUCGUGCCCUCCUAGUGUCCAUGGCGCGCUAUAAUGUGGCGCACCGUGCUACUUUGCAAGUGGUGCUCCGGGACUGGGUAGAGCACUGGAAGGCGACGACCUCAGAGCGGGAUUUGCUGAAAAUGUUCGAGGCCGCCGCGUCGCUCAUGUCGGCCGCGAAGUUGGAGGGAUUGCAGCAGCUGGUGGAGCGCCUCACGGAACUGGCGCCGACGAUGGAUGUGUGCCUCAUGGACCGUGCCAUGGACCUUCUAUCCAUGGUACCAAUGGACAUGAGUACCAAGUGCAUGAUGUCCAUCUUGGCGAGGCUUGUUGGCGAGGCAGGUCACUUGAGCGUUCGACAAGUCGUCUUCAUCCUGCAGCUGCUCUCCACCUACCCACCAGCCAAGGGACACACGGCGGUGGUGUCGAUGGCCUACGCGGCGUCCAUUCGUGCCCCUUCCAUGGACACCGAGUCACUUGAGAGUGUCGUCAUAUCGCUCGCCAUGCUGCAGCUCUACACGGACGACUUCUUCACCAUUGCUCACGUGCUGCAGGCGCAGAAGGGUGGCAUGCGCAGCUUUGCGGCUGUACAGGAGCUGCUGCGGCACUGCACAUCGGAGAUGGCCGCCACCGAGCGUGGUCUCGGUAUGCUGGCCAACGUCAUUUGUACUGUGGCUCCGAUGCUGAACGAUGAAGAGCUUGCCUCUUGUCGCCGCGCGCUGGUGAACUUGGGGGUGCAGGACCGCAACGUGUUGCAGGGCAUCUUUGCAAGGGCUAAGAAGCUUCACCGCACUCAGUCCACCGGCCACGCACGCAAGAAGCGCCUUGGCAGCUAUGAUCCAAUGGCAGACCUGCUCUGAGCAAAGGCGAAAAGUAUGUGCGCCAUGGGUUAAUGCGGAGGCGCAGAAGGGAAGCGCCAAAAGGAGAGAAGCAAUAGAGGAACUGCGUCUGUAUGUGUGUGUGUGUAUGUGUGUGCGUGGGUCGGCUUGCGUGGCUCUCGUGUGUGUUCCCUAGCCCGUUUUCGUUGAGAUGAUGCGGCUGCCGGUUGUGGAGUGCAUAUUCAGUCGCGCUAGUGCUCGUCGUCUAUCUUUCUCAUGCCUUGCUUGUUAUCUUCCGGCGUAGAC